AGCUUUGCACAAUAGCAGUAUUGUAGCCAAUGAGGUUUAUCCGAGGCACGAUCAUUGCUGAUUAAAGGAAUGAUGGAAAAUUUCAUUAGCAAGGGACAUAUUAAACAGCAUCUUUCAAUAAAUUCAGUAAAGAUAAAUAUA
ensembl:snRNA U4 U4 spliceosomal RNA